CCUACGGGAGGCAGCAGUGAGGAAUAUUGGACAAUGGUCGAAAGACUGAUCCAGCCAUGCCGCGUGCAGGAUGACUGCCCUAUGGGUUGUAAACUGCUUUUAUACGGGAAGAAAAACACCUACGUGUAGGUGACUGACGGUACCGUAAGAAUAAGGACCGGCUAACUCCGUGCCAGCAGCCGCGGUAAUACGGAGGGUCCAAGCGUUAUCCGGAAUCAUUGGGUUUAAAGGGUCCGUAGGCGGGCUAUUAAGUCAGAGGUGAAAGUUUGCAGCUCAACUGUAAAAUUGCCUUUGAUACUGAUAGUCUUGAAUUGUAGUGAAGUGGUUAGAAUAUGUGGUGUAGCGGUGAAAUGCAUAGAUAUCACAUAGAAUACCGAUUGCGAAGGCAGAUCACUAACUAUAUAUUGACGCUGAGGGACGAAAGCGUGGGUAGCGAACGGGAUUAGAUACCCCGGUAGUCCACGCCGUAAACGAUGGAUACUAGCUGUUGGAUUUUUUCAGUGGCUAAGCGAAAGUGAUAAGUAUCCCACCUGGGGAGUACGUUCGCAAGAAUGAAACUCAAAGGAANGACGG
rnacentral:rRNA from 1 species